rnacentral:tRNA from 1 species
AGCGCAACUCCCUAUAGUAGCGCCGCCUGGAAAGUGUGUAUACGGCAACGUAUCGGGGGUUCGAAUCCCCCCCUCACCGCCA